rnacentral:rRNA from 1 species
UGUUGCAGUUAAAAAGCUCGUAGUCGAACCUUGGGUCUGGCUGGCCGGUCCGCCUCACCGCGAGUACUGGUCCGGCUGGACCUUUCCUUCUGGGGAACCUCAUGGCCUUCACUGGCUGUGGGGGGAACCAGGACUUUUACUGUGAAAAAAUUAGAGUGUUCAAAGCAGGCCUUUGCUCGAAUACAUUAGCAUGGAAUAAUAGAAUAGGACGUGCGGUUCUAUUUUGUUGGUUUCUAGGACCGCCGUAAUGAUUAAUAGGGAUAGUCGGGGGCGUCAGUAUUCAGCUGUCAGAGGUGAAAUUCUUGGAUUUGCUGAAGACUAACUACUGCGAAAGCAUUCGCCAAGGAUGUUUUCAUUAAUCAGGGAACGAAAGUUAGGGGAUCGAAGACGAUCAGAUACCGUCGUAGUCUUAACCAUAAACUAUGCCGACUAGGGAUCGGGCGGUGUUUCUAUGAUGACCCGCUCGGCACCUUACGAGAAAUCAAAGUU